AAUGUCCUGCAGAGCUGUGCAUUCACGCACUAAUAGGGAACGUGAGCUGGGUUUAGACCAUCGUGAGACAGGUUAGUUUUACCCUACUGAUCAUGUGU
rnacentral:ncRNA from 1 species